rnacentral:SRP_RNA from 1 species
CUGUAAUCUCCUCGGAGACGCGAGCGUCGUUGGAUAGUCCAUCCCUUCGUUGCGGGCCACCUUUUCCCAUGUCGAUGCACUCUCCUUUCAAAAUCUCUAGUAUGGAGCGGCGUCUCGUGAAAGCGACGGCGUCGCUGCAAUUGAACGCUGGGGGAACGGUAGAGACCUGAAAACGGGGCACACUAACUCAGGGCUGGAGAUAGUUGAUGGAC